rnacentral:lncRNA from 1 species
CAAAGAUCAUCUUUUUUUCAUCUUUGUCCUUGACUGCCAUGGUUUUGUGUGUCAAUAAUCCUUGAUACAGGAUGAGACUUUUCUACAUGUCAGUGCUCUUUAUCAUUUUGUUCUUUUUUGCCUAGACCAUCCUGAAGAUUUUUCUGUGUGCUGAAGUUUCACCCAAAGGGGACAAGUGGGCCACACUAGCCACGUACCGCAACAUCCCAUUUGGUGAAGUUUGGACACCGCAAAACCCUUUGGAACCCUGAUCCUCUCCUGACUGUAAAAUGCCAAAGAAGAACCUACAGGAGGCUAAGUUCAUAGCUCAUUUAAAAACCUCUCCAAAUACUGUACUAUCCUUUAUGGCAAGCAAUAUCUUAUUACACUAGCCUGUGACCACUGGGCACCAAAGAAAGCACAGAUAUGUCCCUGCUGAGGUACCUGAGUCCCUGAGACUACAAUUUAAAAAUAGAUUAACGUACAGUGCAAGAAUUAGGAGCAUCCAAGUUGUUGAAUGAAAAUCUAC